rnacentral:rRNA from 1 species
UACGUAGGGUGCGAGCGUUAAUCGGAAUUACUGGGCGUAAAGCGUGCGCAGGCGGUUUGCUAAGACAGGUGUGAAAUCCCCGAGCUUAACUUGGGAAUUGCGCUUGUAACUGGCAGGCUAGAGUGUAGCAGAGGGGGGUGGAAUUCCACGUGUAGCAGUGAAAUGCGUAGAUAUGUGGAGGAACACCGAUGGCGAAGGCAGCCCCCUGGGUUAACACUGACGCUCAUGCACGAAAGCGUGGGGAGCAAACAGG